GGACGGGUGAUUAUGCCUAGGAAUCUGCCUGGUAGUGGGGGACAACGUUUCGAAAGGAACGCUAAUACCGCAUACGUCCUACGGGAGAAAGCAGGGGACCUUCGGGCCUUGCGCUAUCAGAUGAGCCUAGGUCGGAUUAGCUAGUUGGUGAGGUAAUGGCUCACCAAGGCGACGAUCCGUAACUGGUCUGAGAGGAUGAUCAGUCACACUGGAACUGAGACACGGUCCAGACUCCUACGGGAGGCAGCAGUGGGGAAUAUUGGACAAUGGGCGAAAGCCUGAUCCAGCCAUGCCGCGUGUGUGAAAAAGGUCUUCGGAUUGUAAAGCACUUUAAGUUGGGAGGAAGGGCAGUAAAUUAAUACUUUGCUGUUUUGACGUUACCGACAGAAUAAGCACCGGCUAACUCUGUGCCAGCAGCCGCGGUAAUACAGAGGGUGCAAGCGUUAAUCGGAAUUACUGGGCGUAAAGCGCGCGUUAUGUGGUUGGUUAAGU
rnacentral:rRNA from 2 species